AACAAGCAGAACUUUGAGUUCCAAGAAAUAUCCUGGUCCUCUCCACGUCUGCAUGGAUUUAAGAGAAGCCAGGUCCUUGCUGAUAGGGUUCCCCUUGGACAUCCUCCACCUGCAGGACUCUAGCAGGAUCUGCAUGUCUCAGCAAGGGCAGUUACACAAGUGAAUCCUGUGCUCUCCUUCAGGGUGUUUGGUUGGUGCUCCCUCUGCCCUAAAAAUUUGCCACCUGGCUAAAUGCGACUCACUGUUUAGGUUGUAUGCUUAUGUCAUUUGGGCAAGAAAGCCUUCCCAAUUGACUUGGCUGGGGUUCUUUGGUUUCAGGCUCCAAUAGGUUUCCUGGAAUUUUAAUUUUACAGUGCCUCUGGUGCUUUCAGGUGCUGCUCACCUCUGUCUGGUCUGCAGGGAUACAAAUAGAUUUUUCAUGGACAGGUUUUAGCAAUUUAGCUCUCUUCCUAGCCAUCAUCUUGUUUACCUUGACAAUAAACCAACAACUAAGGAUCAUUUUUCCAUACCUCUGGGCUAUGGCUUCACAGCUGGUCAGUAGCAAUGGAGAUAACAUCUUACAGUGGAGGAACCUACACUUGGAGUCACCUGAAAGAGGACAGCCCUUCUGGCCCACGAAGGACAUUGGGCAUCACACGAGCAUCUUCUUUCAUCUCAGACUCAGCUACAUAUUCAAUCACGUUCCAUGAUGAUGACAAGUCCACUGGGCUGUCACCUUCUGCUCUGCAAUUAACUCCAGACAGUGUACCUGAUACAGCAACAUCAGCCAGAUUCACCAUGCACGUGUCAGAAGUAACCCCAAGAAUGGGAAUAAUGGUGUGGUACUUCAGGACAAACUCAAGACGGCUGUACUGGGGGAGAAGAUAGCACCACUUGUAAAGAAUCAGAAUCACAGACACAGCAACAGAAGCAACUUCCCCGCAGGACUGCCUAUCACUCCCUAUCUCCAGAACAUACCACUGAACUGGCUUCGGGACAGCCCACCUGGUUAUCGCACCUUUCCCUCUUUCUGCUUCAGGUGAUGGGGUUACCUUAGCAUAAACUGUAUGCACCUUCCCGGGGAGAAAUCUUGUGGCCCAACAUGUGACCGCUUCAGAGGUCACUUGCUGUUUCUUAAGACUUUCCACAUUCGGAUGCUAUUUACAUAUAUUCUCUAAUGGACAUUUGCUUGGUUUAUCUACUCAGAGAAAAAACUAGAUUCCAGUGACCUGGUUGUAUAAAAUGUGGUCUUCAAAUAAUAACAAUCACUUUGAUGUAUCACUUUGUUUUUGUCUCAUCAGG
rnacentral:lncRNA from 1 species